rnacentral:tRNA from 1 species
GGAGUUGUAGCUCAGUGGUAGAGUGCUUGCCUCGCAUGCAUGAGGCUCUGGGUUCGAUCCUCAGCACCA